GACGUAGGGCGCGAGCGUUGUCCGGAUUUACUGGGCGUAAAGGGCGCGUAGGCGGCGCAACAAGUCACUUGUGAAAUCUCCGGGCUUAACCCGGAGCGGCCAAGUGAUACUGUCGUGCUAGAGUGCGGAAGGGGCUACUGGAAUUCUCGGUGUAGCGGUGAAAUGCGUAGAUAUCGAGAGGAACACCUGCGGCGAAGGCGGUUCUCUGGGACGGUACUGACGCUGAGACGCGAAAGCGUGGGGAGCGAACAGG
rnacentral:rRNA from 1 species